GCCGCUGCUCCUUCAUGUGGAGAGGAGCCAGUUGAGGGUGGGACGCCUCCUGGAUGCCUCCCGGCUGAGAUGUUCCGGGCACGUCCCACCUGGAGGAGGCCCCGGGGAAGACCCAGGACAUGCUGGAGGGACUAUGUUUCUCGGCUGGCCUGGGAACACCGUGG